GGAAAUACUACUCGUAGCGAUAAGGAAACUAAUGGUGGCGGUGGCUGCACAGGCUCCGUUGGCAGCAGUAAUAACGACUAGGCCAUUAGUUUCCUUAUCGCUACGAGUAGUAUUUGU
rnacentral:miRNA from 1 species